UAGUACAUGAUUACAUAUACUGUUUUACCUGUGUGGUGAUUGGUUGCCGAUUGCUUUGUCAAAGUUAUUUAGAUAUCAAGAGAGCAACUAGAAGAGGCUCGUAAACUGCUGCUGAAGUUUUAUCAAAUUUACGAACUUUUAUAUGGCAUGCACGAAAGCAGUGAAAGUACACCUUCUGCAACAUUCGCCGGAUGUUGUAGAGAAGUGGGGUGCUUUGUGGGGUCAUUCCUGCUUUUGGUAUGAGUCCCUAAAUGGUGUUCUUAAAAGGUUUGUACAAGGCACACGAUUUGUUUGCAGCCAGGUUGCAUCAGUUGUUAUGAUCAUUAAGACCAUUUCAGAUGUGCUACCAUCACCGACUGACCAGCUAUUAGCACCACCUGUAGUUCGUUUGGCUACAAAAUUUGGACUGAUGUGUUAAUAUCAACGGUCUUCAUCUGGACAACAUCAUAUAUAUGUCAUCGAAAUGAAGUCCCCUUUCAAAGCGAAAGAUUCUGUGAAAGUUUUUUGUCUACCGGAUCUGUUUGUUGACCCAAUCAAUGUUGUUUUGAGGAGGCUUGGCAACGAGGAACUUUGUCGUGGUUCGCCUGUCAAAACUGUUGGGAGACUGAAACUAGCUGGUCAUGUGAUAAACUCAAAGAAAAGUCACGCGACAAAGAAAAAUUCUUAUAAUGUCGAAUUUACCGAAUGUCAUGAAGAACAGCCGUUGUUUGGUUAUGUAUUACUCUUUAUCAUUUUUGGAUGUGAACGGUUUGCUGUUAUUCAACGGCUCAAUUAAAAUGGAGGAGUGGCCAUUAUUGCAUAAUGACGAUGACUGCAUGACUGAUGUUGUUGAUGCUUACAGUAAUCUUCGGGAGCCGAUCGGAAAGCAUUUACUUUCUUCUCGAGAGACUCGGGACCUGGUAGCAAUUCCUGUAGGAGACAUAACAGCUCGAGUAGUCUGUAUGAAAAUGUUAGGUUCAAGCUGUAUUUUUUGUGUCUCGAUUUCUUAACAUUAUCGAGUGUGAUCGAGUUGUGAAAUACUCAAGAAAUGGUCUUCGGCCGAUUGUGUG